rnacentral:rRNA from 1 species
CCUACGGGUGGCAGCAGUGAGGAAUAUUGGUCAAUGGACGAGAGUCUGAACCAGCCAAGUAGCGUGAAGGAUGACUGCCCUAUGGGUUGUAAACUUCUUUUAUAUGGGAAUAAAAUGUUCCACGUGUGGGAUUUUGUAUGUACCAUAUGAAUAAGGAUCGGCUAACUCCGUGCCAGCAGCCGCGGUAAUACGGAGGAGCCGAGCGUUAUCCGGAUUUAUUGGGUUUAAAGGGAGCGUAGGUGGAUUGUUAAGUCAGUUGUGAAAGUUUGCGGCUCAACCGUAAAAUUGCAGUUGAAACUGGCAGUCUUGAGUACAGUAGAGGUGGGCGGAAUUCGUGGUGUAGCGGUGAAAUGCUUAGAUAUCACGAAGAACUCCGAUUGCGAAGGCAGUUCACUGGACUGCAACUGACACUGAGGCUCGAAAGUGUGGGUAUCAAACAGGAUUAGAUACCCGAGUAGUC